rnacentral:tRNA from 1 species
GUCUUCUUAUGUCUCAGUGGUUAGAGCUUAGGUUUCGUAACCGAAAGGUCGCGGGUCGAAUCCCGCUAGAGGCCG